CGGACGGGUGAGUAAUGCUUGGGAAUCUGGCUCAUGGAGGGGGAUAACUACGGGAAACUGUAGCUAAUACCGCGUAGUAUCGGAAGAUGAAAGUGUGGGACCGCAAGGCCACAUGCCAUGAGAUGAGCCCAAGUGGGAUUAGGUAGUUGGUUAGGUAAAGGCUGACCAAGCCGACGAUCUCUAGCUGGUCUGAGAGGAUGACCAGCCACACUGGAACUGAGACACGGUCCAGACUCCUACGGGAGGCAGCAGUGGGGAAUAUUGCACAAUGGGGGAAACCCUGAUGCAGCCAUGCCGCGUGAAUGAAGAAGGCCUUCGGGUUGUAAAGUUCUUUCGGUGAUGAGGAAGGUGUUUGUUUUAAUAGGACAAGCAAUUGACGUUAGUCACAGAAGAAGCACCGGCUAACUCCGUGCCAGCAGCCGCGGUAAUACGGAGGGUGCGAGCGUUAAUCGGAAUAACUGGGCGUAAAGGGCACGCAGGCGGUGACUUAAGUGAGAUGUGAAAGCCCCGAGCUUAACUUGGGAAUUGCAUUUCAUACUGGGUCGCUAGAGUACUUUAGGGAGGGGUAGAAUUCCACGUGUAGCGGUGAAAUGCGUAGAGAUGUGGAGGAAUACCGAAGGCGAAGGCAGCCCCUUGGGAAUGUACUGACGCUCAUGUGCGAAAGCGUGGGGAGCAAACAGGAUUAGAUACCCUGGUAGUCCACGCUGUAAACGCUGUCGAUUUGGGGAUUGGGCUUAGAGCUUG
rnacentral:rRNA from 1 species